rnacentral:rRNA from 1 species
CUGAAACUCGCCUGCACGAAGUUGGAAUUGCUAGUAAUCGCGGAUCAGCAUGCCGCGGUGAAUACGUUCCCGGGUCUUGUACACACCGCCCGUCACACCAUGGGAGCUGGUAACACCCGAAGUCAGUAGUCUAACCGCAAGGAGGACGCUGCCGAAGGUGGGAUUAGCGACUGGGGUGAAGUCGUAACAAGGUACC